GGAUGAACGCUAGCUACAGGCUUAACACAUGCAAGUCGAGGGGAAACGACAUCGAAAGCUUGCUUUUUCUAGGCGUCGACCGGCGCACGGGUGAGUAACGCGUAUCCAACCUGCCCACCACUUGGGAAUAACCUUGCGAAAGUAAGACUAAUACCCAAUGAUAUCUCUAGAAGACAUCUGAAAGAGAUUAAAGAUUUAUCGGUGAUGGAUGGGGAUGCGUCUGAUUAGCUUGUUGGCGGGGUAACGGCCCACCAAGGCGACGAUCAGUAGGGGUUCUGAGAGGAAGGUCCCCCACAUUGGAACUGAGACACGGUCCAAACUCCUACGGGAGGCAGCAGUGAGGAAUAUUGGUCAAUGGGCGAGGGCCUGAACCAGCCAAGUAGCGUGCAGGAUGACGGCCCUAUGGGUUGUAAACUGCUUUUAUAAGGGAAUAAAGUGAGCCUCGUGAGGCUUUUUGCAUGUACCUUAUGAAUAAGGACCGGCUAAUUCCGUGCCAGCAGCCGCGGUAAUACGGAAGGUCCGGGCGUUAUCCGGAUUUAUUGGGUUUAAAGGGAGCGUAGGCCGGAGAUUAAGCGUGUUGUGAAAUGUAGAUGCUCAACAUCUGCACUGCAGCGCGAACUGGUUUCCUUGAGUACGCACAAAGUGGGCGGAAUUCGUGGUGUAGCGGUGAAAUGCUUAGAUAUCACGAAGAACUCCGAUUGCGAAGGCAGCUCACUGGAGCGCAACUGACGCUGAAGCUCGAAAGUGCGGGUAUCGAACAGGAUUAGAUACCCUGGUAGUCCGCACGGUAAACGAUGGAUGCCCGCUGUUGGUCUGAAUAGGUCAGCGGCCAAGCGAAAGCAUUAAGCAUCCCACCUGGGGAGUACGCCGGCAACGGUGAAACUCAAAGGAAUUGACG
rnacentral:rRNA from 1 species